GGAAGUAAGAGUCGUAACAAGGUUUCCGUAGGUGAACCUGCGGAAGGAUCAUUAUUGUAUAACUGAGGUGCGAGGGCUGUCGCUGACCCGAAAGGUCGUGCACGCCCGAGUGCCCUCACACACAUCCAUCUCACCCCUAUGUGCACCACCGCGUGGGUCCCCCUUUGGCUUGUUCGGAGGGGGGCUUACGUUUUCACACAAACUUUGUAUGCAGUGUAGAAUGUAUUUUUUGUUUUUGCGAUCACGCAAUCAAUACAACUUUCAACAACGGAUCUCUUGGCUCCC
rnacentral:misc_RNA from 1 species